GCGGACGGAUGGGAGCUUGCUCCCUGAAGUCAGCGGCGGACGGGUGAGUAACACGUGGGCAACCUGCCUGUAAGACUGGGAUAACUCCGGGAAACCGGGGCUAAUACCGGAUAACUCUUUUCCUCACAUGAGGAAAAGCUGAAAGAUGGUUUCGGCUAUCACUUACAGAUGGGCCCGCGGCGCAUUAGCUAGUUGGUGAGGUAACGGCUCACCAAGGCCACGAUGCGUAGCCGACCUGAGAGGGUGAUCGGCCACACUGGGACUGAGACACGGCCCAGACUCCUACGGGAGGCAGCAGUAGGGAAUCUUCCGCAAUGGACGAAAGUCUGACGGAGCAACGCCGCGUGAGUGAUGAAGGUUUUCGGAUCGUAAAACUCUGUUGUCAGGGAAGAACAAGUACCGGAGUAACUGCCGGUACCUUGACGGUACCUGACCAGAAAGCCACGGCUAACUACGUGCCAGCAGCCGCGGUAAUACGUAGGUGGCAAGCGUUGUCCGGAAUUAUUGGGCGUAAAGCGCGCGCAGGCGGUUCCUUAAGUCUGAUGUGAAAGCCCCCGGCUCAACCGGGGAGGGUCAUUGGAAACUGGGGAACUUGAGUGCA
rnacentral:rRNA from 2 species